rnacentral:rRNA from 1 species
UAGACCUACGGGAGGCAGCAGUGAGGAAUAUUGGUCAAUGGGCGCAAGCCUGAACCAGCCAAGUCGCGUGAGGGAUGUCGGUCCUAUGGAUUGUAAACCUCUUUUGUCGGGGAGCAAGGCCCGCCACGUGUGGCGGGAAGGAGAGUACCCGAAGAAAAAGCAUCGGCUAACUCCGUGCCAGCAGCCGCGGUAAUACGGAGGAUGCGAGCGUUAUCCGGAUUUAUUGGGUUUAAAGGGUGCGUAGGCGGAGGGUCAAGUCAGCGGUAAAAUUUCGGGG